rnacentral:tRNA from 1 species
GAAUAAUUAGCAUAUAAUAAUGCUUAUAUUUUGAAAAUAUAAAAAAAGAUAGUAAAUUCUUAUUAUUCU